UGGUUUAGAAGUAGAGAAUGUGCUGCUACACACCCUUUGGGUCAAAAGAAAUGUGGGGUUGGCACUCCCACCGUAACCA
rnacentral:ncRNA from 12 species